AUCUCGGUCCCGCCCCCAUCCCAGCGUGCCCUGCGCAAGGCAUCUAGGAAGCUGGCGUGGCGCAGCGGGAGCGUGUGGCGGCCUGUGGGCGGGACUUCCGGCUCGCUGAAUCGUCUUCCGGCCGUGCUUGAUGGUUCUGGCCGGUCUCCUGACAUGAAGCCCCCUAGACCCAGAGAUUGGUUCCUGCUGUGACAUGCCUACCAUGUGGCCACUUCUUCAUGUCCUCUGGCUUGCUCUGGUCUGUGGCUCUGUUCACACCACCCUGUCAAAGUCAGAUGCCAAAAAAGCUGCCUCAAAGACGCUGCUGGAAAAGACUCAGUUUUCGGAUAAACCUGUCCAAGACCGGGGUCUGGUGGUGACGGACAUCAAAGCUGAGGAUGUGGUUCUUGAACAUCGUAGCUACUGCUCAGCAAGGGCUCGGGAGAGAAACUUUGCUGGAGAGGUCCUAGGCUAUGUCACUCCAUGGAACAGCCAUGGCUAUGAUGUUGCCAAGGUCUUUGGGAGCAAGUUCACACAGAUCUCACCAGUCUGGUUGCAGCUGAAGAGACGUGGUCGGGAGAUGUUUGAAAUCACAGGCCUCCAUGAUGUGGACCAAGGGUGGAUGCGAGCUGUCAAGAAGCAUGCCAAAGGCGUGCGCAUAGUGCCUCGGCUUCUGUUUGAAGACUGGACUUACGAUGAUUUCCGAAGCGUCCUAGACAGUGAGGAUGAGAUAGAAGAGCUCAGCAAGACUGUGGUACAGGUGGCAAAGAACCAGCAUUUUGACGGCUUUGUGGUGGAGGUCUGGAGCCAGUUGCUGAGCCAGAAACAUGUAGGCCUCAUUCACAUGCUUACUCACUUGGCUGAGGCGCUGCACCAGGCCAGGCUGCUGGUCAUUCUGGUCAUCCCACCUGCUGUCACCCCUGGGACUGACCAGCUGGGCAUGUUUACACACAAGGAGUUUGAGCAGCUGGCCCCCAUACUAGAUGGCUUCAGCCUCAUGACAUACGACUACUCCACAUCACAGCAGCCUGGCCCUAAUGCUCCAUUGUCAUGGAUCCGAGCCUGUGUUCAGGUCCUAGACCCCAAGUCACAGUGGCGUAGCAAGAUCCUCCUGGGAUUGAACUUCUAUGGCAUGGAUUAUGCAGCCUCCAAGGAUGCCCGUGAGCCUGUCAUUGGAGCCAGGGCAGUUUUGAAGGUGGCUCUGCCAUUGGCUGUCUCAUCCCAGCAGAUCUGGACAUUGGGAAGAGGAGGGUCCACCAGUGCCCUACUCCUGGCAGGCUUGGGGCUGGCCUCAGAGCCCUGUACAAAGAGCGAGGAGGUUCCAAAGAAGAGCCUCUUAGAUACAGUUUGGCACUGGCAGGGAGAGCCAGGAGCACUGUGUAGAGGUCGUCUUCACACCUGGAUCCUAGUGAGCGCGGUCCCGCAGGCCUGCACAUGCCUGUUUCAGUGAUGGCCUCACGAGGCAGCACCGGCUCUAGCUGCACUGCUUUCUUUGAUUAGCUUUGGCCAUGGGAGACACAGGUAGCAGCAUAGCGGGUCAGGGCUCCACCCGGCCUGCUGCUCACUCACCAAGCUCUCGUAGACCUGUGUAUGGGAGCAAAGGGCCUCUCAUAGACCAGGCCCUCAGAAAGGCUUCAGUGAGUUCUUUCCCCAAAGCAGAAUUCCCUCCGGGUUGAGGGCACAGGGCCAUGGGUCAGUGUCUUCCGUGUUGUAGUCCGGUCCCUCUGGUGGAGCUGAAUCCAGUCAAGAGAGGGGGCUGAGAGACAAGCAGACCUGUCCCUGCUGACAAGGCCAACUACAGUCCCCAUGUCCCCAGGCCAGGCACAGCAUGUAGGGAAGGUGUUAGGGGACUUACUGCCUAGGGUCUAACUACUCCUCAAUAGCAGAGCUUAGCAGGAGGCAGCCCCUUCUUUUCGGUCACCUCUAUUGAUGGCCCCAUGGGGCAGAUAGUGACAUGGCGUGAGAUGCAGGUGAGCUCUUAAGCUCCUUAGGACUCAGUUACUCUCCCCUUUUAAAGAUUUACUUAUUUUUACGUGCAUUGAUGUUUUUCACUGCACGUUUGCUUGUGUGAGGGUAGCAGAUCUUCUGAAACUGGAGUUGCAGACAAUUGUGAGCUGCCAUGUGGGUGCUGGGAAUUGAACUCAGGACCUCUGGAAGAGCAGCCAGUGCUCUUAACCACUGAGCCAUCUCUCCAGCCUUUCAGCUGCCAUAUUUGUGAAAACCCAAGCAUGGUCUCAGUAUGAUCUGCCACCCCAUCUUAGCCUCUAGCACAGAGCCCUAGUCCUCUCCAAGACAGACAUGGUUCAGCCACUUAACCAUCUGCUCAGCUGUAUAUGGAGCCAAGGCCCUGUGAUAGGGGCGAUUGGCGGGCUCACCCAGGCCAGUGGCUGUGGUCUGUUUGCCUCUACCAGCCGUGCAGACCAUCUGUGCCUUUCCUAUGGUAGGAUCUGCAGAGUAGUGUCCCUUACUGGUAUGGCCACGGCUCCUAGUGAAGCUCUGGGAUGGCCAGCUCAUUGCCUGUCUGUAGAGUUAUGGCACCUCACAGUAGCAGAAACAGGUUCAGGAUGCCUGUCCUGGGCCCCUCGUUUGGCUGACUCAGCAUAAUGACGCUGAUCAUAGCCAAGCAACUGUGCAUAUGUGGGCUCUCAUGCACUUACGAGGCAGCUUCUCCUCCCUUUGGCCCCAUGAAAGCUGAACCCACUUCAGCUGUGUCCUCUGACUCCACCCUGCCGCCAGGCCGUAGACUCCUCCUAGUGAUGAACCACAGUUUACUUGGUGAUGUGAAGAAUCAAGGCCAGCUGGCCAGGAAGUGUGUGGGAUCCUCCCAGCAUGGGCUGUUGAUGCUCCAAACACGGUGAUGCCAUAAUUAUCUGUGGUACAUUUGGAAGCUAUCAUGGUCCAGGCAGUCUGUCAAAUGGAGAGCCAGCCUUGGUGCUAAUGAGCAUGUCCACCCUGUUCCUCCCCACCCUGUAAUGCCAAGCAAGUUCCAUAAUGUGAUAACUUUGUGUUCUGUGAUGAGAAGCUUCUAACUAUGGCAAAGACAGAAGCCAGGUGAAGAUGAGGCCCAGCAGUGGUCCUCAUUCCUAUCCGUCCUGUGAAUGCAUCUCACCCUCGAUGGCCUCUGCGUCCCUCCUUACUCAGCCCAGCGGGCUCUGUGCAUGUCACCAUGUCCAGAACAUUCUGAUCAAGCCUGCUUAUACAGCCCUGCUUUUUGUUUUGUUUAACUUAAUAUUUUAUCUUUGGGGUGGGAAAGCACACACAUGCCCUGGCACUGUUGUGGAGGUCAGGGAACAACAUGCAGAGAGAGGGUGGUUCUCUCCUUUCACUGUCUGGGUUCUCAGGAUCAAGCUCAAGAUAUGAGGGAGGCUUGGUGGCAAGCACCUUUGCCCACUGAGCCAUCUCACCAGGCCUGUUUUGUUUCUUUUUUUUUUUUUUUUUUUUUCUUGGAGCUGGGGACCGAACCACCCAGGGCCUUGCGCAUGCUAGGCAAGCGCUCUACCGCUGAGCUAAAUCCCCAGCCCCCCCUGUUUUGUUUCUUAAAUCAAUUUUUAAUUUGUUUUUGACCAUAUACUGGGAGGGGCAGUGUAUGAACGCAAGUGUCAGAGAUAUCCGAUCCUCCUGGAACUGGAGUUCCAGCAGGUAGGUGUGACUCACCCAGUGUAGAUGUUGGGAACUGAGUCUGGGUCCUUUGCAAGAGCAGUACACUCUGCACUCUUACCUGCUGAGCCACCCUUCUGGCCCUGGUUUUUGCUCUGUUUUGUUUUGUGUUUGUUCGGGUUUUUUUUGAAACGUGGUUUCUCUGUAUAGCCCUGGAACUCACUCUAGAUCAGAGUGGUCUUGAACUCAAAGAUUCACCUGCCUCUGCCUCAUGAGUGCUGGGAUUAAGGGUGUGCGCCACUCCUGCUGGCUUCUAGCUCCUAUGUUUUUCAAGAAAUUAAAAAAAAAAUUUAAUGUAUAUAUUGUAUAUUGAUCUUUUCCCCUUCUUAUCCUUACCCUCCUUUUCUUCACCCCUUCUGUCUACUUUUAGUCUCUUGUGUCCCUUAGACAGUUUAUAUACAUAUAUAUGUAUAUAAAAUUUAGGAAUCACAAAUAAGAGAAAACAUUUAAUACUUGUCUGAGAUUGACUUAAUUAACAAAUAUGAUUACUUGAUUGUAUCCAUUUUUCUGCAAAUGAUAUGAUUCAUUCCCUGAUUUUAGGAACCUCUUGAGCAGAUCCAACCAAAGGCUUUUUGUCACUUGCCAGCUCUGCAUGGUCAGCCUGUGACACCGUCUCACUCAAGGCCUUCUGGAGUUGGCCCUCAGCUCAGAUGUCAUGUGAGGGAUACCCUAAGGAGAUGAUGGGGCUCCCUCUUGCCUGAGCUUGCAGGAUUGGAUCUUGGGCAGAUCAGGGCAGUGGAAACGUCAGACCUUCUACCCGUGGGAGUAACUACAACCUAACCUUAAAAGAUUUACUUAUUUCUGUAUUUUUUAAAUUAUUUUAUGUGUGUGGGUGUUUUGCCUGCAUGUAUGUCUAUGUACCACAUGCCCACAUGGUGCCCACAGAGGCCAGAAGGGAGCACUAGAUCCCCUAGAAUUGGAGUUACACACAGUUGUGAGUUGCCAUGUGUGUGCUGAGAAUUGAACCCAGCUCAUAACUGCUGAGCCAUCUCUCCAGCCCCCUACUUAUUUGUCCUUAUGUGUAUGAGUGUUCUGUCUGCAUGCCAGAUGCCCAGAGAGGUAAGGAAAGAAAUCCAAGGCUCCUGGAACUAGAAUUGUGGACAGUUGUGAGCUCCUAUGUGAGUACUAGGAACCAAUCUUGGGUCCUCUGCAGGAGCAGUAAGCACUCUUAACUGCUGAAUUGUCUCUCUAGCCUGUCCCAACAUAGCUUUUGUUGGUAUUGACCUGGCAGUGUGUCUGGCUGCAGUCAGUUUCCUGUGGAACUCUGUGUUUAGUGUGAUGUCAGAGAUAAAGGACCAGGACCACAAUGUCAGCUGUGUGGGCAACCACGACUCAGAUCCAGAAGGCAGCUCCUCUGCUGGAGGUUCCCAAGCCUCAUUCACCAGGGUGCUGGAGCCCCUGCUGCCUACUGUGCCUUCUCUCAGAGCCCAGACUAAUGGCCCUGAAGUCCAUCCCACUUCAGGCUACAGCUGCACAACAGCUCCCACCCCUUCCCACAACAGGUCUUGGUUGUGCUGCUGGAUCAGGGAGGAGACCUGUACCUGCAGACUCCCAGCUGUUAACCAUCUAUUAACAUACUUGUGGCCAUUAUGGCCUUUGUUUGGUAGGGACACUAUUCUGGUCUCAGAUGUACAGCAUGUGAUUGGCUGUGUGCCAUAGGUCUGCAGUCUUGGCCCAAGCAGUUGAGAAGAAGCCUUUCUGCAGGAAGGGCAGCACUACACAGCUUUGGAAGUGAGGCAGCAGUGUCCACCUGGGGAAAGGAAAGCCUGGGACACUCAGCCUAUCACAGCCAAUGUUUCUGCCCACUGUCCGGGCAAAAGCCCUGUCUUCUAAUCCUUGGCCCACAGCUUGGUGGAGAAGUUGAAGAUUAGCUGAAUCACUUAUUAUCUGAGCUCUGGGGGAGAGCAAAGUCAGAGCAGAGUGUAGGUGGUCUGAACAUUGACUUCCCCAAGGAGGCUCACAAAAGGUGCUGUUUCCUAGAGCAGGACAUGUGUAGAGUGGGACUUCAAGGUUUGAGCAGCCAAGCUUACUGGCUGAACAGAACACAAAGUGCUGCUGGCUCACUGUGGACCUUUAGGAACAACGUGUUGCUCGCUCACUCUUUCAGUGACAUCAAUAGCCACAUAGGAGCUGGGGCUUAGGGGUAGGCUGGGGUAUGUGGCUAUCUCACCCAUAACCUGAUCU